rnacentral:rRNA from 1 species
CCUACGGGUGGCUGCAGUGGGGAAUAUUGGACAAUGGGCGAAAGCCUGAUCCAGCCAUGCCGCGUGUGUGAAGAAGGCCUUCGGGUUGUAAAGCACUUUCAGUGGGGAAGAAAGCCUUGGGGCUAAUACCCUCGAGGAAGGACAUCACCCACAGAAGAAGCACCGGCUAACUCCGUGCCAGCAGCCGCGGUAAUACGGAGGGUGCGAGCGUUAAUCGGAAUUACUGGGCGUAAAGCGCGCGUAGGCGGUCUGAUAAGCCGGUUGUGAAAGCCCCGGGCUCAACCUGGGAACGGCAUCCGGAACUGUCAGGCUAGAGUGCAGGAGAGGAAGGUAGAAUUCCCGGUGUAGCGGUGAAAUGCGUAGAGAUCGGGAGGAAUACCAGUGGCGAAGACGGCCUUCUGGACUGACACUGACGCUGAGGUGCGAAAGCGUGGGUAGCAAACAGGAUUAGAUACCCUGGUAGU